GUGGGGAAUAUUGGACAAUGGGCGAAAGCCUGAUCCAGCCAUGCCGCGUGUGUGAAGAAGGUCUUCGGAUUGUAAAGCACUUUAAGUUGGGAGGAAGGGCAGUAAGUUAAUACCUUGCUGUUUUGACGUUACCGACAGAAUAAGCACCGGCUAACUUCGUGCCAGCAGCCGCGGUAAUACGAAGGGUGCAAGCGUUAAUCGGAAUUACUGGGCGUAAAGCGCGCGUAGGUGGUUCGUUAAGUUGGAUGUGAAAGCCCCGGGCUCAACCUGGGAACUGCCUCCAAAACUGCAUGACUAGAGUACGGUAGAGGGUAGUGGAAUUUCCUGUGUAGCGGUGAAAUGCGUAGAUAUAGGAAGGAACACCAGUGGCGAAGGCGACUACCUGGACUGAUACUGACACUGAGGUGCGAAAGCGUGGGGAGCAAACAGGAUUAGAAACCCUGGUAGUCC
rnacentral:rRNA from 1 species